rnacentral:rRNA from 1 species
AUUUUGACUGUACAAAGGUAGCAUAAUCAUUUGUCUUUUAAUUGAAGGCUUGUAUGAAUGGUUGGAUGAAAAAUAUACUUUCUUUAUUAUAUAUAAAAAAUUUAAUUUUUUAGUUAAAAAGCUAAAAUGAUAUUAUAGGACGAGAAGACCCUAUAGAACUUUAUUUUCUUUUUUAUAUAAAUUUUAUAGUUAAAUAAAAAUUUCUAUAUUUAUGUUUAUUUUGUUGGGGUGAUUGAAAAAACUUUAUAACUUUUUCUAUUUCUUUCAUUUAUGUAUGUUAUUUAUGAUCCUUUAUUAUGGAUAAUAAGAUUAAGUUACCUUAGGGAUAACAGCGUUAUUUUUUUGGAGAGUUCAUAUCGAUAAAAAAGUUUGCGACCUCGAUGUUGGAUUAAAAUAA